AAACUGGAGAGUUUGAUCCUGGCUCAGAACUAACGCUAGCGGCGUGCCUAACACAUGCAAGUCGUACGAGAAAGUCCGUUUCGGCGGAUAAGUAAAGUGGCGCACGGGUGAGUAACGCGUGGAUAAUCUACCCUUUAGUCUGGAAUAACCCAUCGAAAGGUGAGCUAAUACCGGAUAAUACUGCAUAACUACUGUUGUGUAGUCAAAGAUGGCCUCUGCUUGCAAGCUUUCUCUGAAGGAUGAGUCCGCGUACCAUUAGCUAGUUGGUAGGGUAAUGGCCUACCAAGGCGACGAUGGUUAGCUGGUCUGAGAGGAUGAUCAGCCACACUGGAACUGAGAUACGGUCCAGACUCCUACGGGAGGCAGCAGUGAGGAAUAUUGCGCAAUGGGGGCAACCCUGACGCAGCAACGCCGCGUGAGUGAGGAAGGUUUUCGGACCGUAAAGCUCUGUCGAGCGGGAAGAAAUGCAUGAUGGCUAAUAUCCAUCAUGCUUGACGGUACCGCUAGAGGAAGCACCGGCUAACUCCGUGCCAGCAGCCGCGGUAAUACGGGGGGUGCAAGCGUUGUUCGGAAUUAUUGGGCGUAAAGAGCGUGUAGGCGGCUGGACAAGUCAGAUGUGAAAGCCCUGGGCUUAACCCAGGAAGUGCAUUUGAAACUGUCCGGCUAGAGUAGGGGAGAGGAAAGUGGAAUUCCUGGUGUAG
rnacentral:ncRNA from 1 species